rnacentral:lncRNA from 1 species
AUACAAAAAAAAUUAGGAUAUUAGAUAUUUGUAUUUCAUCUUCUACUCUUAUAAAUAUAUCUCUUUUAUAUUUUAAUCAUUAUUACUGAUACGCGUACGUAGUGUAACUAUUUGUGGGUACAUGUAUGUGUCUAGAAAUCAGAUCAGUGCACAAAUUAUGGCAUUGAUGAAUGAUGGUUCCACAUCCAGAAUCAUGUUAAAGCACCCUCUCAGAAUUAUAUUCCUUUUAUUAAAAAAUAU